rnacentral:rRNA from 1 species
GUGCCUAAUACAUGCAAGUCGAGCGAACAGCAAGGGAGCUUGCUCCCGGAUGUUAGCGGCGGACGGGUGAGUAACACGUGGGUAACCUGCCUGUAAGACUGGGAUAACUCCGGGAAACCGGAGCUAAUACCGCNAUAGUUCCUUGAACCGCAUGGUUCAAGGAUGAAAGACGGUUUCGGCUGUCACUUACAGAUGGACCCGCGGCGCAUUAGCUAGUUGGUGGGGUAAUGGCUCACCAAGGCGACGAUGCGUAGCCGACCUGAGAGGGUGAUCGGCCACACUGGGACUGAGACACGGCCCAGACUCCUACGGGAGGCAGCAGUAGGGAAUCUUCCGCAAUGGACGAAAGUCUGACGGAGCAACCGCCGCGUGAGUGAUGAAGGUUUUCGGAU